rnacentral:rRNA from 1 species
AUACGUAGGUGGCAAGCGUUGUCCGGAAUUAUUGGGCGUAAAGCGCGCGCAGGCGGUCCUUUAAGUCUGAUGUGAAAUCACGUGGCUCAACCACGUGCGGUCAUUGGAAACUGGAGGACUUGAGUGCAGAAGAGGAAAGUGGAAUUCCAAGUGUAGCGGUGAAAUGCGUAGAGAUUUGGAGGAACACCAGUGGCGAAGGCGACUUUCUGGUCUGUAACUGACGCUGAGGCGCGAAAGCGUGGGGAGCAAACAGGAUUAGAUACCCUGGUAGUCCUAGCCGUAAACGAUGGGUACUAGGUGUUGGAGGUGACAAUCCCCCAGUGCCGCAGUUAACGCAUUAAGUACCCCGCCUGGGGACUACGGCCGCAAGGCUGAA